rnacentral:rRNA from 1 species
AUACGGAGGGUCCAAGCGUUAUCCGGAAUCAUUGGGUUUAAAGGGUCCGCAGGCGGUCAAUUAAGUCAGAGGUGAAAGCCCAUCGCUCAACGAUGGAACUGCCUUUGAUACUGGUUGACUUGAGUUAUACGGAAGUAGAUAGAAUAAGUAGUGUAGCGGUGAAAUGCAUAGAUAUUACUUAGAAUACCGAUUGCGAAGGCAGUCUACUACGUAUAUACUGACGCUGAGGGACGAAAGCGUGGGGAGCGAACAGGAAUAGAUACCCCAGUAGUCC